rnacentral:lncRNA from 1 species
AUCAAUAGAAGUUCAAACCUUCAUCUUAGGUGACCCAAAGGACUCACACUUCCUCAAGCACACCUUUCUUGCCAAUUUCCCAAGACAAGUGAUAAACCAAUUUCAAUGUUCAAGGGACCUAAUUUCGGAUUCUAGGGCUACACUAGAAGACUAAAGCUACAAAUAAGAGUAAUGUUCAAUAUCAUCAAAAGUCUAAUGAAAAUAGUAUCUAAAGUGUCUAUUUAUACUAUUUCAUAACAAUGACUAAAUUUCCUUUAAUGAGG